rnacentral:rRNA from 1 species
AUACGGAGGAUCCGAGCGUUAUCCGGAUUUAUUGGGUUUAAAGGGUGCGCAGGCGGCCAUUUAAGUCAGCGGUUAAAUCGUGGGGCUCAACCCCAUUCUGCCGUUGAUACUGGGUGGCUUGAUUGCGGUCGAGGUUGGCGGAAUUCGUUGUGUAGCGGUGAAAUGCAUAGAUAUGACGAAGAACACCGAUUGCGCAGGCAGCUGACCAGACCGCAAAUGACGCUCAUGCACGAAAGUGCGGGGAUCGAACAGGAUUAGAUACCCUGGUAGUCCGCACAGUAAACGAUGAAUACUUGUUUUCGGCGAUAUAAUGUCGGAGGCAAAGCGAAAGCGAUAAGUAUUCCACCUGGGGAGUACGCCGGCAACGGUGAAACUCAAAGGAAUUGGCGGGG